rnacentral:rRNA from 1 species
UACAGAGGGUGCAAGCGUUAAUCGGAAUUACUGGGCGUAAAGCGUGCGUAGACGGUUGCGUAAGUCAGAUGUGAAAGCCCCGGGCUCAACCUGGGAAUUGCAUUUGAGACUGCGUAGCUAGGGUGCGGAAGAGGGAAGCGGAAUUUCCGGUGUAGCGGUGAAAUGCGUAGAUAUCGGAAGGAACACCAGUGGCGAAAGCGGCUUCCUGGCCCUGUCCUGACGCUCAGGGGCGAAAGCAUGGGGAGCGAACAGG